rnacentral:lncRNA from 1 species
UGCAAUUUUCUUUGACACAGGAACAGAUUUCAAGAAUUUUAUUUUGGGUUUUACCCAGUUUUUCUGUCAAUAACUUCCACUUGUUGAGGGUUUGAAUGUGCAAUAUACAUAAAAUUUCCUACUUAAUUGAGGGAGGAUCUAAUCUUGAAACUGACUAGAAAAGAAUCAUAAGAUUUGACUAAUAAGAGACUGAAACUGAAGAACAUUCUAAUUUGGAAAAUACUUG